AUGAAGCACUGUGCUGGUCCCGCAGUGAAGCCCUCCGUGUCUCUGCUGCCUCCCUCUUCUCUGCAGAUCUCUGGAGACUCAGCCGCACUGCUCUGUCUGCUCAGCUCUUACUCUCCACAGGGGGCGCAGGUGAGCUGGACGCUGGACGGGUCAGAGGUCACCGAGGGGGUUCAGACCAGCGCAGAGAGCGAGCGGGACGGACGCUACAGCCGCAGCAGCGUCCUGAGCCUCAGCAAAGCACGCUGGGAAGCCGGCGAGCGCUUCGUCUGCAGAGUAACACAUGACGGAGCUGAUCACGAGACCUCGUUCCUCAAGAGCUCCGAGUGCUGAUGUUUCUCCAGUGAAGAGCAGCAGGAUUCACAGCAGUCUCCUGAUUUACAGCUCAAUACUCAAGCAGUCUUUCAAUGUGCUGCCAUUGCUGUUCAUUCAAUAAAGCUUCUGAACGCCUUA